AGAGUUUGAUCAUGGCUCAGGACGAACGCUGGCGGCGUGCUUAACACAUGCAAGUCGAACGAUGAAGCCCAGCUUGCUGGGUGGAUUAGUGGCGAACGGGUGAGUAACACGUGAGCAAUCUGCCCUUGACUCUGGGAUAAGCGCUGGAAACGGCGUCUAAUACUGGAUACGACCUCCGGAGGCACCUCCUGGGGGUGGAAAGAGUUUUCGGUUGGGGAUGAGCUCGCGGCCUAUCAGCUUGUUGGUGAGGUAAUGGCUCACCAAGGCGACGACGGGUAGCCGGCCUGAGAGGGUGACCGGCCACACUGGGACUGAGACACGGCCCAGACUCCUACGGGAGGCAGCAGUGGGGAAUAUUGCGCAAUGGGCGAAAGCCUGACGCAGCGACGCCGCGUGAGGGAAGAAGGCCUUCGGGUUGUAAACCUCUUUCAGGAGGGACGAAGCCCCUCGGGUUAAUAGCCCAGAGGGUGACGGUACCUCCAGAAGAAGCCCCGGCUAACUACGUGCCAGCCGCCGCGGUAAUUC
rnacentral:rRNA from 1 species